CCGUGAGGGAAAGGUGAAAAGAACUGCUAGGAGCAGAGUGAAAAGAACCUGAAACCAUACGCUUACAAGCGGUCGGAGCACUUUGGUGUGACGGCGUGCCUUUUGCAUAAUGAGCCUGCGAGUUACCUUCUGCAGCAAGGUUAAGUCGGUAGACGAAGCCGAAGCGAAAGCGAGUCUGAAUAGGGCGUUUGUCAGUGUUUAUAGACCCGAACCCGGGUGAUCUA
rnacentral:rRNA from 14 species